rnacentral:rRNA from 1 species
AGCGUACACGGUGGAUGCCCUGGCAGUCAGAGGCGAUGAAGGACGUGCUAAUCUGCGAUAAGCGUCGGUAAGGUGAUAUGAACCGUUAUAACCGGCGAUUUCCGAAUGGGGAAACCCAGUGUGUUUCGACACACUAUCAUUAACUGAAUCCAUAGGUUAAUGAGGCGAACCGGGGGAACUGAAACAUCUAAGUACCCCGAGGAAAAGAAAUCAACCGAGAUUCCCCCAGUAGCGGCGAGCGAACGGGGAGCAGCCCAGAGCCUGAAUCAGUGUGUGUGUUAGUGGAAGCGUCUGGAAAGGCGCGCGAUACAGGGUGACAGCCCCGUACACAAAAAUGCACAUACUGUGAGCUCGAUGAGUAGGGCGGGACACGUGGUAUCCUGUCUGAAUAUGGGGGGACCAUCCUCCAAGGCUAAAUACUCCUGACUGACCGAUAGUGAACCAGUACCGUGAGGGAAAGGCGAAAAGAACCCCGGCGAGGGGAGUGAAAAAGAACCUGAAACCGUGUACGUACAAGCAGUGGGAGCACGCUUAGGCGUGUGACUGCGUACCUUUUGUAUAAUGGGUCAGCGACUUAUAUUCUGUAGCAAGGUUAACCGAAUAGGGGAGCCGAAGGGAAACCGAGUCUUAACUGGGCGUUAAGUUGCAGGGUAUAGACCCGAAACCCGGUGAUCUAGCCAUGGGCAGGUUGAAGGUUGGGUAACACUAACUGGAGGACCGAACCGACUAAUGUUGAAAAAUUAGCGGAUGACUUGUGGCUGGGGGUGAAAGGCCAAUCAAACCGGGAGAUAGCUGGUUCUCCCCGAAAGCUAUUUAGGUAGCGCCUCGUGAAUUCAUCUCCGGGGGUAGAGCACUGUUUCGGCAAGGGGGUCAUCCCGACUUACCAACCCGAUGCAAACUGCGAAUACCGGAGAAUGUUAUCACGGGAGACACACGGCGGGUGCUAACGUCCGUCGUGAAGAGGGAAACAACCCAGACCGCCAGCUAAGGUCCCAAAGUCAUGGUUAAGUGGGAAACGAUGUGGGAAGGCCCAGACAGCCAGGAUGUUGGCUUAGAAGCAGCCAUCAUUUAAAGAAAGCGUAAUAGCUCACUGGUCGAGUCGGCCUGCGCGGAAGAUGUAACGGGGCUAAACCAUGCACCGAAGCUGCGGCAGCGACGCUGAUGCGUUGUUGGGUAGGGGAGCGUUCUGUAAGCCUGCGAAGGUGUGCUGUGAGGCAUGCUGGAGGUAUCAGAAGUGCGAAUGCUGACAUAAGUAACGAUAAAGCGGGUGAAAAGCCCGCUCGCCGGAAGACCAAGGGUUCCUGUCCAACGUUAAUCGGGGCAGGGUGAGUCGACCCCUAAGGCGAGGCCGAAAGGCGUAGUCGAUGGGAAACAGGUUAAUAUUCCUGUACUUGGUGUUACUGCGAAGGGGGGACGGAGAAGGCUAUGUUGGCCGGGCGACGGUUGUCCCGGUUUAAGCGUGUAGGCUGGUUUUCCAGGCAAAUCCGGAAAAUCAAGGCUGAGGCGUGAUGACGAGGCACUACGGUGCUGAAGCAACAAAUGCCCUGCUUCCAGGAAAAGCCUCUAAGCAUCAGGUAACAUCAAAUCGUACCCCAAACCGACACAGGUGGUCAGGUAGAGAAUACCAAGGCGCUUGAGAGAACUCGGGUGAAGGAACUAGGCAAAAUGGUGCCGUAACUUCGGGAGAAGGCACGCUGAUAUGUAGGUGAAGUCCCUCGCGGAUGGAGCUGAAAUCAGUCGAAGAUACCAGCUGGCUGCAACUGUUUAUUAAAAACACAGCACUGUGCAAACACGAAAGUGGACGUAUACGGUGUGACGCCUGCCCGGUGCCGGAAGGUUAAUUGAUGGGGUCAGCGCAAGCGAAGCUCUUGAUCGAAGCCCCGGUAAACGGCGGCCGUAACUAUAACGGUCCUAAGGUAGCGAAAUUCCUUGUCGGGUAAGUUCCGACCUGCACGAAUGGCGUAAUGAUGGCCAGGCUGUCUCCACCCGAGACUCAGUGAAAUUGAACUCGCUGUGAAGAUGCAGUGUACCCGCGGCAAGACGGAAAGACCCCGUGAACCUUUACUAUAGCUUGACACUGAACAUUGAGCCUUGAUGUGUAGGAUAGGUGGGAGGCUUUGAAGUGUGGACGCCAGUCUGCAUGGAGCCGACCUUGAAAUACCACCCUUUAAUGUUUGAUGUUCUAACGUUGACCCGUGAUCCGGGUUGCGGACAGUGUCUGGUGGGUAGUUUGACUGGGGCGGUCUCCUCCUAAAGAGUAACGGAGGAGCACGAAGGUUGGCUAAUCCUGGUCGGACAUCAGGAGGUUAGUGCAAUGGCAUAAGCCAGCUUGACUGCGAGCGUGACGGCGCGAGCAGGUGCGAAAGCAGGUCAUAGUGAUCCGGUGGUUCUGAAUGGAAGGGCCAUCGCUCAACGGAUAAAAGGUACUCCGGGGAUAACAGGCUGAUACCGCCCAAGAGUUCAUAUCGACGGCGGUGUUUGGCACCUCGAUGUCGGCUCAUCACAUCCUGGGGCUGAAGUAGGUCCCAAGGGUAUGGCUGUUCGCCAUUUAAAGUGGUACGCGAGCUGGGUUUAGAACGUCGUGAGACAGUUCGGUCCCUAUCUGCCGUGGGCGCUGGAGAACUGAGGGGGGCUGCUCCUAGUACGAGAGGACCGGAGUGGACGCAUCACUGGUGUUCGGGUUGUCAUGCCAAUGGCACUGCCCGGUAGCUAAAUGCGGAAGAGAUAAGUGCUGAAAGCAUCUAAGCACGAAACUUGCCCCGAGAUGAGUUCUCCCUGACUCCUUGA